rnacentral:rRNA from 1 species
UACGUAGGGUGCAAGCGUUGUCCGGAAUUAUUGGGCGUAAAGAGCUCGUAGGCGGUCUGUCGCGUCGGCUGUGAAAACUCGGGGCUCAACUCCGAGCUUGCAGUCGAUACGGGCAGGCUAGAGUUCGGCAGGGGAGACUGGAAUUCCUGGUGUAGCGGUGAAAUGCGCAGGUAUCAGGAGGAACACCGGUGGCGAAGGCGGGUCUCUGGGCCGAUACUGACGCUGAGGAGCGAAAGCGUGGGGAGCGAACAGG